GGAAAGGAAGGAUAAUGUCCAGGAGUUGGAAUGUUAUCCUUGUUUUUAAUUAAGAUGCAAUUCACAUAAAUUAACUUUUUAAGUGAACAAUUAAGUGGUAGUACAUCCACAAUGGUGUACAACCACCACUUCUAUCUAGCUCCAAAACAUUCUCAUCACUCCAAAAGUAAAGUCCCGUUACUCUCCAUUUUCUCCUCCCACCGCCCUUGUCCCUGGCAACCACCAAUCUGCUUCCUGUUUCUUUGGAUUUACAUCCGG
rnacentral:lncRNA from 1 species